AGUUUUUAAUAAUGAAUGGUUCAGUUAGAUGAUCGUUAUGAAUGUUUGGUUAUUGUGAACUUGUUUGAGUUGGUGUUUUCAUUAUACAUGCGAUUAGAGAUUUUGGAUAAUUGGUUUCGGAUUUAUGUGUUUAUACAUGGUGGUUUUCUACCCCUUGAGGUAGUCGGUUUUCAAAAUAGAGUUUCCGAGUGGGAAACAAUUUUAAAAAGGUUUUUGAAUGGUUUUGUGAAUGAUUGAAUUAGAGUUUAAAAACAAAAUUCCAGAUGGGGAGCACUUUUAAAUAUAUGCUU
rnacentral:lncRNA from 1 species